rnacentral:rRNA from 1 species
GCGAGUGAAGCGGCAACAGCUCAAAUUUGAAAUCUGGCCUCACGGUCCGAGUUGUAAUUUGUAGAGGAUGUUUCGAGCAUGGUCCGGUCUAAGUUCCUUGGAACAGGACGUCAUAGAGGGUGAGAAUCCCGUAUGUGACUGGAUACCUAAGCUCAUGUGAAACUCCUUCGACGAGUCGAGUUGUUUGGGAAUGCAGCUCAAAAUGGGUGGUAAAUUUCAUCUAAAGCUAAAUACUGGCCAGAGACCGAUAGCGCACAAGUAGAGUGAUCGAAAGAUGAAAAGCACUUUGGAAAGAGAGUUAAACAGUACGUGAAAUUGUUGAAAGGGAAGCGCUUGCAACCAGACUUGCAUGCAGUCGAUCAUCCGAUGUUCUCACCGGUGCACUCGAUUGUAUUCAGGCCAGCAUCGGUUUUGGUGGUUGGAUAAAGGCCUUGGGAAUGUAGCUUCCUUCGGGGAGUGUUAUAGCCCUUGGUGCAAUGCAGCCUACCGGGACCGAGGACCGCGCUUCGGCUAGGAUGCUGGCGUAAUGGUUGUAAGCGACCCGUCUUGAACCACGG